UACAGAGGUCCCAAGCGUUGUUCGGAUUCACUGGGCGUAAAGGGUGUGUAGGCGGUCGGGUAAGUCUGAUGUGAAAUCUCACAGCUUAACUGUGAAACUGCAUUGGAUACUAUCCGGCUCGAGGAAUGGAGGGGAGACUGGAAUACUUGGUGUAGCAGUGAAAUGCGUAGAUAUCAAGUGGAACACCAGUGGCGAAGGCGAGUCCCUGGACAACUCCUGACACUGAGGCACGAAAGCUAGGGGAGCAAACAGG
rnacentral:rRNA from 1 species